AGAGAAGUGGGCAAUGAACGA
rnacentral:misc_RNA from 1 species